CAGAUCAUUAUUAACAUUCUGUAUAUAAUUCAAUUUUAUUUACUCUCCCCUUUUUAUUAUUUUUAUUUUUAUUUUUAGCUGAAAAGACAUAAAGGCAGUCAGCCCAGUGGUGUUUCUGGAGAGGGAUUCCUUCAGAAAUGGAGAAGACAGAAAGCUGCGGAGGCAGAUAUUUGCAGCAGUCUAAAAUAUCAAGCUCAACAACUCACUCAAGAGCCAACCCUCACAAACCUUCCUAAAAACUAAAAGAGCUAUUACUGAGUCUCAGCGAAUCUUGCCAUGAUCAGCUCUUCCCAGAAGAGAAGGAAGACCAAGGAAAUGAUUUGCUCAGGAUGAGGAAUGAAGAUGGCCAUCUUGUGCUCAAACAAACAGAAGUCCUCUGAUGAUCUCAUCAGCCAAAUGAGGGGUUUUGACCAAGUGAUGCUCUUGAAAGGAGUGAAAGAAGAGGAUGUGCUAAAUUCUCUUCAGAGAAAAAGCUUCUCAAAAGGUCUCAAAACAGCUUGAAGAAUGGUCUGGGAUCUUAGGACUGAGAGAUCCUCUGGCUGAGGACAAGCUACACCACAUCAGUGUUGGAUAUCAACCACAAACUGUUUCCAGACACGAGAGAAGAAGAACACGAUGGGGAGAUGAAACCAGUUUAGAUGUGAUGAUGGGAAUCAUUAUUUUCUGGAACAGUAUCUCAUGUCUUAUAUGUAUCACAUGAUCUGUAUCACAGUUGACUGGAUGGGACUGUGUGACUUUUAAGGACAUUUCAUCACUCAUCUGUGUGAACUUAUAUAUGAGGUUAAUGUAUUUUUGAUGAUAAUUAUUUUCAUUGAAUCUUAUUCGUCUUGAUGCUACUUUAUCAACUUUAUAGUCUAUGCUUCAAUAAAAUGAAAAUGGUGAAUAUUGUGUUCUGAAGAUUCUUGUUAAAUACAUAAUUUUACUAGGUAGGCUGAUAUGUGUUUAUUUUAGACUUGGAAAAACUACAUAUUAAUUAUUGGGAUUAUUUUUUUAUUUAAGACAUAAACAUUUUUGAUCGGAUUAAUAACAUCUGGGACAUCAGUACACCAGAAAGUAAUUUUUUUAUAUUUUAGUAACAAAUAUGCAAAUUUUUUAGUGAAAUAAAGGGAGUUACGAGAUUAACUAUUCUGCAUUACAAGAUGGUGCCAUGGGCUUUAUUGUUACAAACACUUGAGGGAUAACUGAGAAUGUAGCAGGAAUGAUCAAUGGGAUCUUGUACUG